ACAUCUCUCUCUUUCUCAAUUAUUCACUUCCUCUCGGAACUCUGGUAUUUUAAUUAGAUUAUUUAUUUACCAUCACAGGACAGUACCAAACAAUUAUGGCAGGCGGUUAAUAUAUUAUUUGUUAGUCCUGAUUCCGUCGUCAUACUAAUACCACGGCGUAGCCCCUCCGACAAAUUCUUGACCACCUCUUCGCAUCCAGCCAGUACCCAGCUGCCUGUGUUGCAUUUUUGAGCAAGGUCACCGUGAUACUUUUGGUUUUUCUUUUUCCUAGAGCGAGUGUCUGGAUUCCAUGCGGUGGAGCUGUGUCAGAGGCAUACAAGUGCCACUACUAAUACCACUACUGUUUUCAUAAUUACGAGGGAAGUCUAUCUGGUUUUACUAAUGCUGUUGGUUGGGAUAAUUAUGCAUUAAUUAAGGCUGAAAGGCCUUGGACUUCUCUGACAGGUUUGAGCAGAACAGAAUCUCCACGUGUGAAGGCAGAAAGAACAACGCAAAGAAGAAAGUGGUGUGAAAAUUGGAGCAAGAUGUUUAUAAAGUUGGGCAGCUUGGUGAGAUGAUGUCAAAGAGAACAGAUGAAAACCAAGGCAGAGCACAAUGAAGGUAGAAGCUGAGUGUGACAUCCAAGGGACAACUAAAUAACAGGCAGUCCAAGACAAAAACUAGAAUUUAUCCUGCAAUAAUGAAAUACCUCAGUUGGAUCCACUCCUGUUGGAUUGUGUGCACAAGCAUGAAGGAUGAUGACUGAAUUUUCUGGGGCAUUCUUAAGAUCCUCUAUCAUGCCUUCAAAGUCAAGACCACG